rnacentral:rRNA from 1 species
AUGUGCUGGCUGGCGACAUUCAUAGGCCCGGAGGACGCGGGUGUGAGCAGCCCUAAUGAGGAACGAGUGGAGGCCGCCGAGCCACCGGAAGCCGGGCAGCCAUCCGCUGCAGCCGGGAAGGAGACACGGCGCCUGAGAGGAAGUGACAUGAAGCCGUCGGCGGAGGACGUGACGGCACGGGGAAGAAAGUUGUGCUUGGCGAUGUGGCCGAAGAACCUGCAACGCGUGCACUGGAUGUCCUUCCGGCACUCGGAGAGGGGGUGGCCGGGUCGAGGCAUCGAGGGCAGUCGCCAUCGCGUAGCCAGGAGGGCCGGGGCGGGGCCUCACCUCGGGACCGCGGCGUUGGCGACGAGGCUUGCGCGGGCGGGGGCGCUUACGGCCCCGCGCAACCUGCCAUGCAUCACGCGCGUCGUCCCACCUCUCCGGUAA